CACAGGCUGGCUGCCUUCCUCCCGGAUGUCUUUCACCUGGUGGAGAAGUGGCUCCUGGGUGUGAUUCAGCCCAGGUGCUGCUUGUGAGUAGCUUGACCUUCACUUCUGGUGUCUAACCACAGCCUGGCAGACGUCUUCUUCUACCAGAAGGACAACAUCGAAAAUGAGCCUAUGGUGCUGGCAACACAGCUCAAUAGAGUUCAAUUGUCCAAGGAGUCUCUGUCCUGCCACCGCUGACCUUGGGGACACUGAAGAUUGUCCUGUGCUGAAUCUGAAAUCGGGGAAGCCCAAACCUUGAACCUAGUGGUGGAAUACCUCCAGCCCAAAGCCAGACAAAGAACCAGGCCAAGCUCUCUGUGACAGUGCUUUGUCCCAGGAUAGACAGCAUCCAUCACUUCAGAUUCCAUCACCUAGCCACACUGGCGUCACCUGACUUUGUGUGAGCAGGCACGGCAAUGUGUCCAGGAGGACAAAGUCAGCUAAUGCUGUGUUUUCCAGAAUACACCCCAUGUAAUGUGACUUUGAUUGGGUUCCCUAGAGAAGUCGGAGAUGGAGAAGUUUAUCCCAGGCAGUCACUGAGGAAGACUAAUAAUAAUGAUAAUAAUAAUAAUAAAGGCUGAGUAGGUGUGUUCAGCUGAAGUCCA